rnacentral:tRNA from 1 species
UCCCCGGUAGCUCAGUUGGUAGAGCGCCUGACUGUUAAUCAGGUGGUCGCAGGUUCGAGUCCUGCCCGGGGAGCCA